AUUGAACGCUGGCGGCAUGCUUUACACAUGCAAGUCGAACGGCAGCGCGGGGGCAACCCUGGCGGCGAGUGGCGAACGGGUGAGUAAUGUAUCGGAACGUAUCCUGUAAUGGGGGAUAACCAGUCGAAAGAUUGGGUAAUACCGCAUACGCACGAGAGUGGAAAGUAGGGGAUCGCAAGACCUUACGUUAUAGGAGCGGCCGAUAUCUGAUUAGCUAGUUGGUGGGGUAAAGGCCUACCAAGGCGACGAUCAGUAGCUGGUCUGAGAGGACGACCAGCCACACUGGGACUGAGACACGGCCCAGACUCCUACGGGAGGCAGCAGUGGGGAAUUUUGGACAAUGGGCGAAAGCCUGAUCCAGCCAUGCCGCGUGCAGGAUGAAGGCCUUCGGGUUGUAAACUGCUUUUGUACGGAACGAAAAGGCUCUGGUUAAUACCUGGGGCUCAUGACGGUACCGUAAGAAUAAGCACCGGCUAACUACGUG
rnacentral:rRNA from 1 species